rnacentral:lncRNA from 1 species
CUCUGGGACAAACCAGCUUCUAUGUCAUGAGCACACUCAGGCAGCUCAUUGGAGAGAUCUGCAUGGUAAAGCAAUGAGGCCUCCUGCCAGCAGCCAUGUGAGUGGCAUCUUGGAGCCAGACCCUCCAGCCCCAGUCAAGCCUUCGGAUGCCUGCAGCCCUGGCUGACAUUUUAACCACAACUUCAUGAGAGAUUCUGAGCCAGAAUCACCCAGCUAAGCUGCUCCCGGGUUGCCAGCUUCCAGAAUCACGGUAGGAUGACCUCUCUCCCCUGCUUGGAAGUUACGUAUAUCCACGCAACUUUGAAAUUGAGUAAGACUGGGAUGUGUCAUCCCCAAGAGGGCACUUCAAGAGCCAGUGUGCCAUCACAACCUCUUUCUCUCCCUCUAUCAAACCAGUUGCCAGUGUUAUAAAUAAUGAGACCAUGCUCUAUCAGCUUGGGGCCAGGGGUUGGGGUGAUGUGGAGCAGAGCUGUUAGCUGACCCACCAUGGAUGUGUAGCAGCGGAAGAAGCAAGCCGUGUGCUGUUGAAGCACCCACAUUUUUGGUGUUACUGCAGCACAACCUGAACUAUACUGACUGAUGCAGGUGAGGAUACACAGGGAUCCUCUGUCCCUCCACCCCCAGCUCUUCAUGCUCUUUGGGCCCAGGAAAGCCAGUAUCUCCAUUGAGGUCAGCAGGAUCAUGCCCUUGAUGUGGGUUCCCUGUCCCCUGCCCAGGGGACCUCCACCGUGUCCACACCUGGAUAAAAAGUGAGGAGCUUGGUUCAGGAGUGGGCUGGGGGCCUGGCCUGGUCAUCACGACCUCUCUGUUUAGAACCCUGUGGAUGGGAAAGGCUUACAUGGCAGUAAGAGGAGUUGAAGGUGUUAAGUAACGGCCCGUGUGAUCCAGUUCUGAAAACCACAAAGUCAACAGUGAUUGAUCCUUUGCUUUCUUUUCCAGAACCAUAGAGAAUUUGGGGAAAAUACUGUCUGGCCACCCAGAAAACAAAGACCAGAGAGUGACAAGAGGCGACGGGGAGGAAACGGUGCCACCACCAAGGUCUCAGCCUGGGCCCAGGUCGAGGAAGGCCUUUGUCCUGCAGAACAAAAGCCACUGUUUGCACGUGUUAAACUUCAUCAAACUUCAACAGACCCAGGUGCAAAACCCCACAUCCCAAAUGCCAUCCGGGCUUAUGCCACCUUCCCGAGCAUGGACCGUCCCUAGCCGUCAACCCUAAUCAGGGCCAUGCCCUACAUCAAAGCUGCACUCCCUCCACAGACAGCUUCUGCUCUGAGAUGCAUUGUUCCUAUGACUUCCUACACUCCGCCCUUGUCUGACGAAUUAGGGCACGGAGCCCCCCCAUGGCACAGCUGGGCCCUGCUGGCAUUGUUAAUGAGGUAGGAAGGGCGCGUUUGUCUGAGCCUGGGACUAACAUAAUCACAUAAAGUUGUUGCUUUGGAAUAGAUGGAGCUGCCCCAGAGUCGAUUUUCUUGGAAGCAACGCAAAGCACAGCUUCCUGGGAGAAGACACAAUGCCUCCUAUUGUCUCUGCCACUUCCCCUCCAGCCUCCCAGCAUUUCUGCGUCUCCUCGGGAGCCACUGCCCUGUGCAAGAGCUGUUUGCUGAUGCCCAGCCGCGGCUUCCAAAACUCCCGCGAGAAGUCGUUUCUGUCCACAGUCAUUGUUUCCAGACCAGCCGAGCCAACUGGGGAGGAGAGGCCAAGCCCAGGGAGAGCAUCUCAAGGACUUGGGCAGCUUCUGGAAGUGGCUGAGACUGGAAGAAUGUUGUCACACCUACCAGAUAUCCCUACGUGUAUCUCUACCACCCCCACUACAUAUUCUGAAGAACCAAGGUGAGCUGGGGGAAUCCCCAGGCCAGCAGGGCAAGGCCUGGGCAGGAAUGGAGUGAGGAAGUGAGAAGUGGGGAUCUUGGGGGUGGGCGGGCUGUGGGGCUGGGCUGUGCUGCACACUGGGCAGGAGGCAGGAGAUGGCAAUGGAAGCGACAGCUCCCCAUCUUCCCCGGCUGCAUACGUGAGGGAUUCUGCUGCAUUCACUGAGUCACCAAAGGACACUGGAAGGCCAUCAGGAUUUUUGGGUGACCAAGACAUGGCUCCCCUCUUACUGCCUGUGGGGAGACAGGCAUGUGAACACCCAAGUCUAACCCAAGCUGAGUUGACUGAGGGCCAUUUAAAGAUUCCACAGAGGCUGAGAGCAGUGGCUCAUGCCUGUAAUCCCAGCACUUUGGGAGGCCAAGGCAGGUGGAUCACUUGAGGUCAGGAGCUCGAGACCAGCCUGGCCAACAUGGUGAAACCCCGUCUCUACUAAAAAUACAAAAAUUAGCCAGGCAUGGUGGUGCACACCAGUAGUCCCAGCUACUCAGGAGGCUGAGGCAGGAGAAUCGCUGGAACCCAGGAGGCAAAGGUUGCAGUGAGCCACGAUCACACCACAGUACUCCAGCCUAGGUGACAGAGCGAGACUCCGUCUCGAAAAUAAACAAAUAAAGAAAGGUUCCAAGGAUGGUCUGGAGGACAAACAAAGGAGGAGAUUUGGUGCAGGAGUUAGGACAAAGACUCCUGGGACAGCAGCCCUCACUUGGGGCCAUAGUGAAUGAAUGGGGGCCUUUUGCAGAAGGGAAAUGGAGGACAUGUGUGGUGAAGGCUUUGCUGAAGCAUCUCUUAUAAAAGGGGCAAAAGCACUUGCUCUCCUCCCAGCUCUGGCUCAGCCUCUCUCUCUUCAAGUCCCUGGCAUCCCUGGAAAACCAUGAUUUUUCCAUUCUGCAGCCAGCCCAGGCACCUCCUCCCACCCCCGCACACUGCAGUCUGGUGUGUGUGGUGGGCACACAUAGAACACUUGCUGGUCUUGAAAAUGAAGCCAUCUUUUGGGGCCCCUAGAAAUCAAAGAGACCCACUUAGCCAAGAUAUCACUCUUGGACACCAGCAAGGGUGAGAUCACUUGAUAGGUAUUUUGCCGUGUGUUUCUUUUUAACUAUAUAAAAAACAAAAGGGUGGAUGUGCAAACCCAACCCAAGAAUACCUUGGCUCAGGCUCAACUAGAUGAAACUUUUAAAAAUGAUUUAAUGUUAUGUUAGACUGUUGCAUAUUAAAGCGAUGUAAUGCCUUCUAAGAAACGAGAGUCAGAUCCUGAAAGCGAUGACUUGGGUAAAUGUAAGGAGUUAUAACUCACUUUUCAAGAGAGCAACUAUAAACAUUUUGCCCAAUAUGUACAGACCUCUAAUGACAGUGUGCAAAGACUCUUUCGUUCCCAGAUUAUGAGGCUGCCACUUUCUCCUCCCCUUCCUGAGCCGCACUUUUCUAAACAGCAACUGUCGGGGCAGGGGGAUGGGAAGCUCAUGAGAGAAGGAAAUAUUUGGGACCGUGUCGGCCAGUGGAAUGGGGCUUGUGGUCACCGUGUUACAGAGUCAAAUCACUUCCCAGUAAACACCAGUUUCCGAUGGCUCUCUGGCCAGGGUUGGCCGGGGACAAGCAGGGAGUAUAUGUGUCGGGUACGUUGCGUCACAAGCUGUGCAGCUGUGUAGGCCUCUCUGUCCAGAGGCAUUAAUGGAAAAUGAUUGGGCACCCAGCCCACAGCAGAUGCGCUGAGGAAUCCAGCCAGGGGGAGCUGGGAUGCAGUGGGAGAGGGGACACGCAGGGCCUGGCUGAGAAGCCUCGCGAGGUAACCACAGGCGGAAAUCUGAAAAAUGAAGACGUUCCCACCAGUUCCAGAAAACAGGGCUAACUUAAAAUGCAGCCCCUUUCCUUGAAGUGGGCUUGGCAGGCCCCAGGUGUUGAAAGGCAAAAGAAAAAAAAGAAAGAAAGAAAAAGAAAAAGAAAACAGCAUGUUUUACAUUUAUCUAGCCUGCAUUUCUAAUGGAGUUCCCUUCAGACCCCUCACGUGCUGAAUUGAUGUGUGAGAUCAGAACAAAAGGAAUUUCGAGGAAUCAUUGGUAUAGGCCCCAGAGCUAAGGAGAUUGCAAUUUGAAAAUACUGUUUCAUGCACUUAUUAGACUAAAUCAGCAAACAGAGAGCAGCGUGCCAGGUCCUCCUGGAAGUUGCCAGAAGUCUCAUGGCUGUAGCCUCCCUGGCUGCUGCUUCAGGGGGUCCCCUAGACCCCUCAACCCAGAAGAGGAAGGCAAGGAUCCAUCUCUCCUCGUUUUAAGAGUUCCUCUUUUCCCCGCUUUAUGUCUCAGAGCCCUAGCUCCUCCGUGUCCCUCAUCUGUCAAGUCUGCUCUCAGGGAAAAGCGGAAACUCACUCAGUCCCAAAGGUGAAUGGUAACCUCAGCUUCUUCUCAGGGUGGGAGGGGAGGCCGGUGUUUUCCCAGAUCCUAAGCUAAAGUAAGCUCCUGCUAAACAGAUGAGGGAAUUAUGCUGAGGGGGAAGAGGUUCACCCUGGACUCCUGUGAAUUCCUUGAAGGAUUCAUGAGAUUUCUCACCUCUGGGUUUUCUGUGGGGGUUGAGUCUCUCCAUCUGUAAUGCUCUUUGUCUAAUUGGCUCACACUUUCUUUCUGCUGAAUAAUGUCACUUCUGUGCUUGGGAGUGGUCCCUGGGGUAGAGGAUGCCAGUUGCCAAGCAAAACCUAUCCCCCUUUCUUCUUGACUGACAGACACUUAUAUUAUUGGGGCAGCUAAAGCACUACAUUUCCCAAGUUUACAGACAUCUGUGGCCAAGCGGGUGUAAGCAGAAGACUUUAGGGGUAGAGGAUGCCUCAGAGAAAGUUAUUCAAAAGGGGGAUAAUUAAAACAGGAGGUGAACUUUCUUCUUUGCCCUUCCCCCAUGGAAUGUGGCCAUGAUGGUUGGAGCUCCAGCAGCCAUCUUGGGACCAAUGUGAGGAUGGACAUUACAAGCUAAGAGGGCUGAGCAGAAAGAAAGAAGACAUCAGACUCUGAUGAGUGACUGUGGAGCUGCCUUGCCAGUCCUAGACUGCCCAAGGCCGUAUUUCUCUCAGGUGAAAAUAAACCUGUAUCCUCUUUAACUGAUGUUGUUUCUAGUCUUCAUCACUUGCAGCUGAACUAAACCAAAGUAAGCCCUCCCCUUUCUGCACUUCUCCAUACAACUACUCACACUUGCAGCCUCUCAUUCCAUGUCUGUCUUCUCCCCGCCAUGUACCAGCUAUGAGAUCAGUGGUUUGUCUGCAGUGCCGUCUGCAGGAGCCUC